AUGGAAGGUCGGAUGCCACUCAAAUGUCACGCAAUGAAAUUCGGUUAUGACGGUUGCAUUUCUAAGAAUCAUGUUCUUGUUUUGCCACAGUGGGAGCUGGUUGGUUUCUCUGGAGUAAAGCAAGCAAAGAGGGGAACGCUCAGAGAACAGCAAGAAGCCCCCACUUGGAAGCUGCUUCUCCCAAAGUAUUUUGAGGGGCAAUCAACAUUGUUCAUCAGCUGCUACAAGCCAGCAAGCACACGUGCGAGGACUCUCACAUGGAGGGUGGCCGGCACCUCCUGCAUCACCCCCCACACUCUCAGAAUUCACCUUCCUUUCAGCACUGACAGAAUUUCCAAUUAUGUGAUUGUUGCAAAGAGUCUUGUUAAGUGCUUCAAAGGAGCUCCUUGUCUUGGCUUCCAGAAGUCCAUGGAAAGACGGCACAAAAAUAAAAUAAAGACGGACAACCUGCAAGACAGGAGACAGGAAAGGGCAAUUUGUCUUUAUCCUAGGGCUCUUCAAACACACAUUUAGUGAGAUUAAAAAGAACACCACCAGCUCUUUGGGAAAGAGCCUCCAAUUUUCCUUUUAGUAUGGAAGGCACCAAAGAUGUAAACACAUUUAACCAAAAAGGAGUCUGGAAAAUUCCCCUCCACUUAAGAGGACUGACCCAAGCAGAGAGACUCGAACUUUCUACUGUCAUCCUUGAUGAAAAUUCAAUCUCCACAUUGGACAGCCACCUCACUCAAUUGAUCCUCACUCAGUUGACCCAGGGCAAGAUGAAAGUGGGAGGGAUGACUGGAGUGUCAGAGGGAAGGCUCUGCUAGGGAAACUCCCACACCCAAACUUGGAUCUGCCCCUUCAGUGACUACCUAGUCAUGAAGCAAGGUUAUAUUCUAAAGUGCCCACUGUGGCAUGACCCUUUAUUGCAUACACUUUAGCUUACAAUUGCCUCUACAGAAAAAGACCUUGAGAGCAGACUUGAGACUAUAGACUGGAGAACAGGAAGCUUAUGUAAGGAAACAGCUGUGGAAAAAGACUCUGGCAGACAGAGGGAAGUGCUCUAUGCUAUCAUGGUGCUCAGAACACACCUGUGCUUUCCUCUAGCAUCCUCUAACCCAGCUGGAAGAUUGGCACUAAUGGCUUCCUCUUGCUUCUUUGAUCCAGAGGUACCUAUCUGUAUCCCCAGGCUGGAGAGAUAGCUCAGCCAUCAAGGGUUCACCACCAGAAACCUCCAUUUCUCAUACAAAGGGGGAGGUGUUUUCUACACUGCCCGUUUCCUUCAUGAUAUGCAUUUCAACCUUAAAAUUCUAUAACGUCACCAUCCUUGCUGGGGGGGACGGGGUCUCAGGGAGUAAAAAGGAAUAAGGAUGUGCCAAUUUAUUUUGAUGGGUUAAAUUUUGUGUGACAAUGAGAGCAGGUAGACUCACUUGGGUAUUAGAACAGAUAAGGAGGUUAUCUCUCAUUUGGUCCUCUGAUAUUGUAGAUGGCUUCAUAGAGGUAUCUAGAUAAUGGCUUCAUAGAGGUAUCUAGA
rnacentral:lncRNA from 1 species